AACGCACAUUGCGCCCCUUGGUAUUCCGAGGGGCAUGCCUGUUCGAGCGUCAUUAUGACCACUCAAGGCCUAGCUUGGUAUUGAGGUUCGCGGUUCCGCGGCCUUUAAAAUCAGUGGCGGUGCCGUCUGGCUUUCAAGCGUAGUAAUUUUCUCGCUACGGAGUCUAGGUAGUAGCUUGCCAAAACCUCAACUUCUUAAGGUUGACCUCGGAUCAGGUAGGGAUACCCGCUGAACUUAA
rnacentral:misc_RNA from 1 species